rnacentral:rRNA from 1 species
CUUUACUGUAGCCUGAAAUUGGUUUUGGAUUUUUUUUGCGCAGUCUAAGUGGGAGGCUUUGAAGACUUUUUUUCGGGAAAGUUGGAGCCAUUAUUGAGAGACCACUCUGAAAAAAUUUAAAAUCUAAAAGCGUUCCUUGAAGCAGGACGCUUGACAGUUUUAGGUGGUCAGUUUGACUGGGGCGGUCGUCUCUUAAAAGGUAACAGAGAUGUGCAAAGGUUUUUUCAGGCUGGACGGAAAUCAGUUAUUGAGUAUAAAGGCAUAAGAAAGCUUGACUGUAAGACCUACAAGUCAAACAGGGGCGAAAGCCGGCCUUAGUGAUCCGACGGUACUGAGUGGAAGGGCCGUCGCUAAACGGAUAAAAGGUA